GCUUACGGCCACACCGCCUGGUUCACGCUUGAUCUCGGAAGCUAAGAUAGGUUGGGCCUGGUUAGUACUUGAAUGGGAGACCGCCUGGGAAUACCAGGUGCUGUAAGCU
ensembl:rRNA 5S_rRNA 5S ribosomal RNA